CCACGCGCCCUCGGGCUGCCGCCGGCCGGCAGUUCUUAGGAGCGCGGACAGAGGGGUCGGCCGGGCCUUCCCACCCCCUUCCGCCCGCGCCCCCUUCCUUCCUCUCUGUUCUGUUCCGCUUUCUGGGCUGGGACGCGGAUGCAGAGGGGAGGGGAGACCCCAGAAGGGCCGGGCAUAUAGCUCCUCGGCCUGCUAAGGGGAGCCUGGUCCUCUCGGAAGAAGCACUGUCCUUUCUCGAGGGCCCAUAGGGUGGGCCAGCUGAGUUCCUCACCUCCUCGGUCUAGGGACCAAGGAUUACACAGCAGGCUUGCAAAGCAGUUUCAGAGACUGAACUGCCCUCUGGUCCACGGUGAAGAAAUUGAGGUUGAGAUCUUGCCUGGGUCCCCAGCUUGUCAGUGCUGGAGCCGGGACUUGCAUCCCGGCAUCCUGGCACCCAAGGCCACGUGCCCUGGUACCAUGCAGAUCCGCAGAGGAAAGGGGGGCUUGGAGACCAUGUGGGGCCCGGGGAGGGGCUCUGUCACUCAGCAGCUGCUGCACGUUUCUUUCUUUCUCCCUUCUUAAUGGCUUUUUUGGAGUAUAACUGACAUACUA